UCAAUUCGAAGAGGUGGCGGAACGAUGUUUUUCAAUUUGAAUGGAAUACCAAAUUUCGGCCACCGCCACCUGCGUUUCAUUCGUAAUCCAUUCUGAUACUUCGUAAUCCAUAUGAAUGGAACUGCGGCUAUUUUCAUUUUCCCUUUUUUAAACUUGAUUAGACGGACGUAUCGUAUAUAAAAGGUCCACUACUUCGAUUUUCAUAAUAAUAAUAAUAAUAGCGUAUGGUUAUUGUUCAGCCGGGAGGACACAUUUUAAAUGACAGAUUCGGCUACCAUUUGCUGCUAUAGCUAGUGAAGGUACUUUGACAUGGUAUUGUAAUGACCUAACACUAGGGACCACAUGCUUAACGUGAAUUCCGAACCACGCCUUCUAAGCAUUUUUUUAUGUUACACUCUGAAGGAUUUUUUAAUAUUGCGCCUUAGUACCUAUAGCAGUGCUAAAACCCACUAAAGCGCAGUAGGAGUAGAAUACCGGCAGCUCCCAACAAUGUCUUGACCGGUAAGCCGUGUGACAGUUCUACACACACAACCAUACCAGAUUUUUUAUGAAUCGAUUCAACCAAAUGUGUAUUUGUGUACAAGUCUGACAACUGAUUUUUUUUCUGGCCUGGUUGAGGCUCGACACUGACAACUCAAUCGAAUAUUGGAAAGCAAACGUGCUAACCAUUACGCCAUUGAGUCGCUCGAUUUUCAUAAAUUAUUUGAUAAAG